UCCUAAACGUUCCUGAUCAUAGGAUUGCCAAUUGGGCAUUGACAGUCCGUUAAGAUCGGUACGUACUAUGUCUUCUCUCAAGGAGAGUGAUUAGUCUCGAAUCAUUGGUGUGUGUGACAUCAAGACAAGUACGGUAGGUGCUCAAUAGAGAAUGAGUUCACUGAACGCGAUCAACGAAGAGUUCUCAUAUUCCAUGUCACAUGAGAACUCAUGGUUGGGAUAAUGCAAAUUAGUCCUUUGACCUGAGGCAUCAUAGUUGUCUUGUGGUUAAGACCUUGAUCUUUGAUUAUGUCAAAGUCACUCCAUCAGGAGGGUGUCCACGGCAUCGUUGGGGUCAAGCCGCUUAGCUAUGGAGACAAGUGAAUGCGCAACAAGGGAUCUCUAACCUUCAAGCCGCUUGAAGGAGAAUACUCUCUGAUAUGAUUUGAAUCUCUGAUCAGAGUAUGAAUGAGAUUUGGGAAUGUGUUCCUAAUCACAUUCAAGGUAAUCAUAUAAGCACAAG
rnacentral:lncRNA from 1 species